CCUACGGGUGGCUGCAGUAGGGAAUAUUGCGCAAUGGGGGAAACCCUGACGCAGCGACGCCGCGUGAGUGAUGAAGGCCUUAGGGUCGUAAAGCUCUGUUGUACGGGAAGAAAAAAAUGACGGUACCGUAUAAGAAAGGACCGGCUAACUUCGUGCCAGCAGCCGCGGUAAGACGAGGGGUCCUAGCGUUGUUCGGAAUCAUUGGGCGUAAAGCGUGUGUAGGCUGCCAUGUAAGUCAGUUGUGAAAGCCCCGGGCUCAACCCGGGAAGUGCUUC
rnacentral:rRNA from 1 species